GGUGGCAUAGUGGUUAAGAGCUUGGCUGCAAACCAAAAGGUUGGUAGUUCCAAUCUACCAGCCACUC
rnacentral:tRNA from 1 species